CCUACGGGAGGCAGCAGUGAGGAAUAUUGGUCAAUGGUCGCGAGCCUGAACCAGCCAAGUCGCGUGAGGGAAGACGGUCCUAUGGAUUGUAAACCUCUUUUGUCGGGGAGCAAAAGACGCCACGCGUGGCGUUCCGAGAGUACCCGAAGAAAAAGCAUCGGCUAACUCCGUGCCAGCAGCCGCGGUAAUACGGAGGAUGCGAGCGUUAUCCGGAUUUAUUGGGUUUAAAGGGUGCGCAGGCGGAAUGUCAAGUCAGCGGUAAAAUUGAGAGGCUCAACCUCUGCGCGCCGUUGAAACUGGUUGUCUUGAGUGAGCGAGAAGUAUGCGGAAUGCGUGGUGUAGCGGUGAAAUGCAUAGAUAUCACGCAGAACUCCGAUUGCGAAGGCAGCAUACCGGCGCUCAACUGACGCUCAUGCACGAAAGUGUGGGUAUCGAACAGGAUUAGAUACCCUUGUAGUC
rnacentral:rRNA from 1 species